rnacentral:rRNA from 1 species
UACGUAGGGUGCAAGCGUGGUCCGGAAUUAUUGGGCGUAAAGAGCUCGUAGGCGGUUUGUCGCGUCUGCUGUGAAAACUCGGGGCUUAACUCCGGGCCUGCAGUGGGUACGGGCAGACUAGAGUGCGGUAGGGGAGACUGGAAUUCCUGGUGUAGCGGUGAAAUGCGCAGAUAUCAGGAGGAACACCGGUGGCGAAGGCGGGUCUCUGGGCAGUAACUGACGCUGAGGAGCGAAAGCGUGGGGAGCGAACAGG